UACAUAGGGUGCAAGCGUUGUCCGGAAUUAUUGGGCGUAAAGAGCUCGUAGGUCGUUUGUUACGUCGGAUGUGAAAACCUGAGGCUCAACCUCAGGCCUGCAUUCGAUACGGGCAAACUAGAGUUUGGUAGGGGAGACUGGAAUUCCUGGUGUAGCGGUGGAAUGCGCAGAUAUCAGGAGGAACACCAAUGGCGAAGGCAGGACUCUGGGCCAUUACUGACACUGAGGAGCGAAAGCGUGGGGAGCGAACAGG
rnacentral:rRNA from 1 species